rnacentral:rRNA from 1 species
UACGAAGGGUGCAAACGUUUGCUCGGAAUCAUUGGGCGUAAAGCGCACGUAGGCGGCUUUGCAAGUCUGACGUGAAAUCCCUCAGCUCAACUGAGGAAGUGCAUCGGAAACUGCAAGGCUUGAGUACUGAAGAGGAUCGCGGAAUUCCCGGUGUAGAGGUGAAAUUCGUAGAUAUCGGGAGGAACACCAGUGGCGAAAGCGGCUCUCUGGGACGGUACUGACGCUGAG